rnacentral:rRNA from 1 species
GAUGAACGCUGGCGGCGUGCCUAAUACAUGCAAGUCGAGCGAACGGACGAGAAGCUUGCUUCUCUGAUGUUAGCGGCGGACGGGUGAGUAACACGUGGAUAACCUACCUAUAAGACUGGGAUAACUUCGGGAAACCGGAGCUAAUACCGGAUGAUAUUUUGAACCGCAUGGUUCAAAAGUGAAAGACGGUCUUGCUGUCACUUAUAGAUGGAUCCGCGCUGCAUUAGCUAGUUGGUAAGGUAACGGCUUACCAAGGCAACGAUGCAUAGCCGACCUGAGAGGGUGAUCGGCCACACUGGAACUGAGACACGGUCCAGACUCCUGCGGGAGGCAGCAGUAGGGAAUCUUACGCAAUGGGCGAAAGCCUGACGGAGCAACGCCGCGUGAGUGAUGAAGGUCUUCGGAUCGUAAAACUCUGUUAUUAGGGAAGAACAUAUGUGUAAGUAGCUGUGCACAUCUUGACGGUACCUAAUCAGAAAGCCACGGCUAACUACGUG